rnacentral:rRNA from 1 species
ACUCCUGCGGGAGGCAGCAGUGGGGAAUUUUGGACAAUGGGCGAAAGCCUGAUCCAGCAAUGCCGCGUGAGUGAAGAAGGCCUUCGGGUUGUAAAGCUCUUUUGUCAGGGAAGAAACGGUGAAAGCUAAUAUCUUUUGCUAAUGACGGUACCUGAAGAAUAAGCACCGGCUAACUACGUGCCAGCAGCCGCGGUAAUACGUAGGGUGCAAGCGUUAAUCGGAAUUACUGGGCGUAAAGCGUGCGCAGGCGGUUUUGUAAGUCUGAUGUGAAAUCCCCGGGCUCAACCUGGGAAUUGCAUUGGAGACUGCAAGGCUAGAAUCUGGCAGAGGGGGGUAGAAUUCCACGUGUAGCAGUGAAAUGCGUAGAUAUGUGGAGGAACACCGAUGGCGAAGGCAGCCCCCUGGGUCAAGAUUGACGCUCAUGCACGAAAGCGUGGGGAGCAAACAGGAUUAGAUACCCGAGUAGUCCCAUG